GCUGGGCGGUCGGAGUUACGAAUCGGGAACGAGUGGACCCGGUGAGAGACCCGAGACUGGGAGCAGCUCCCCGGGUAAAGGCUACAACAGCAGCCGGAGCUUUGAGCCCUUCCGAUGGCGGAUGUGAAGAUUCGGGCGGAGAUUCCGUGAGCUGUUUCAGCCACACAGGGGGUGCCCGGUCUUUCCCCGCCGAGGGUCGGGGCCUGCCGUCGGGAGUUAACUCCUGCUGCUGGGAUACGGGAGCUGGCCCGCAGCGGCUGCCGAUGGAAAUCCGGUGCUGUGAGCGCUCCCCUGUGUUAAAGGACAGGCUGAAGGCCCAGGGAGAACCAGGCGCAAAGUCAGCCACGGCUUUGUCCAUGCUGGAAUCUUUCCGGUACUACCAUGGGCUCGUGGGUUGUUAAAGCAGCCUCAUGUGUGGCAUCCGCUCAGAAGCCAUCUGAAAAUCCAGAUGCUGCCUGAGGUGCUGAGUUCCUGCAGCGUUUUGUGUGAGUCGCCUUGAAUUUCCAGCAUUUGCAGACUUUCUCCUGUUAGUUCCAGAAAUCGCCGUCCGUGACCAGACGAUCACAUGCGCAUGCGUAAGGUCGCGGUGAGUUUCGCGCGUGCGCACGGUGGACAAAAAGCUCGGAGACUCGCUGCAGAACGUAUGGACCGACCAUUUGUCUGAAAGUUAAAUGUUUAAACAGCCUGAAAACAGCACGGCAUCAACAAAACACCAGCUGUGCAGCAGCAAAGGCUGUCUGUGUGGGAACAUUUCAGUUACUGCGCAGCUCGGAAUAAUAUGGGACAGAGAAUAAUACUAAUGGAAGGAAUCAGACUGAGCUAAGUCACAGAUUGAAAUUCCCAUUCUCACACAGACAGGAAAUCUGUUGGGGAAUUAGAUGGACAGACCAGUUGCCGGCGUCAUGAGCAGUUAGAAGGUUAGAAAUGACAAAAAUUGUGUACGGGAAUUUUAAACAGAACAACAUGUCAGUUUGCUGUCUCUGCCCAGAUAUUUAAGGAGUUACUAGAUAUUUAACAAUGUAUCACUGUUGAUCCUUGGAGAUGAAGAAUUUUGUCAUCACAGCUGGAAAAGUGCUUUGUGUCUGAAAUUAAGUUUUCUGUUGUAACUCACUGAAAUCCACUGGAACCGGGGAACUGAGAACACACCAGCAUUUGUUCACUGGAGAUCAGUUCUUCAACUACUUUGAUUGUGCAAGGGGUUUACUACAUCUGAUAUUUGACUUAUGAAUUGACAAAGAACUGUGGGAAGGGAUUCACUCUUCACUCACUCAUCUCACCUGCAUGCACAACAGCGAGUUCACACUGAUAAGAUGUCUUUCACCUGCGCUGAUUGUGGGAAGGGAUUCACUCGGUCAUCCUGCCUACAGACACACCAGCGAGUUCACACUGGUGAGAAGCCAUUCACCUGCUCAGACUGUGGGAAGGGAUUCACUCAGUCAUCGCAACUGCGGAGACACCAGUCACUUCACACUGGGGAGAAGCCAUUCGCCUGCUCAGACUGUGGGAAGGGAUUCACUUGGUCAUCUGAACUGAAGAUACAUCAGCGAACUCACACUGGAGAGAGGCCAUUCACCUGUUCAGACUGUGGGAAAGGGUUUAUUCGGUCAUCUCAACUGAAGGUACAUCAGCGAACUCACACUGGGGAGAGACCGUUCACCUGCUCAGUCUGUGGGAAAGGAUUCACUCAGUCUUCUGUACUGAAGGAACAUCAGCGAAUUCACACCGCAGAGAGGCCAUUCACCUGCUCAGACUGUGGGAAAGGAUUCACUCAUUCAUCUGUACUGAAGGUGCAUCAGAGAAUUCACACUGGGGAGAGGCCGUUCACCUGCUCAGACUGUGGGAAGAAAUUCACUGACUCAUCCAGGCUACAGGCUCACCAGCGAGUUCAUACUGGAGAGAGGCCGUUCACCUGUUCAGACUGUGGGAAGGCAUUUACUCGGUCAUCUCAAGUGAUGGUACAUCAGCGGAUUCACACUGGGGAGAGGCCAUUUUCCUGCUCUGAAUGUGGGAAGAGAUUUAUUCAUUUAUCUGACCUGCAGGUGCACCAGCGAGUCCACACUGGAGAGAGGCCGUUCACCUGCUCAGACUGUGGGAAGGCAUUUACUCGGUCAGUUGAACUGAAGACACAUCAGCGAAUUCACACUGGGGAGAGGCUGUUCAUCUGCUCAGACUGUGGGAAAGGGUUUAUUCGGUCAUAUCAACUGAAGGUGCAUCAACGAGUCCACACUGGGGAGAGACCAUUCACCUGCUCAGACUGUGGAAGGGGAUUUAUUCAGUCAUCUCGACUGAUGAUACAUCAGCGUAUUCACACUGGGGAGAGACCGUACGCCUGUUCUGAUUGUGGAAAGAGAUUCAGUCAGUCAUCCGACUUACAGACACACCGACGAGUCCACACUGGAGAGAGGCCAUUCUCCUGCUCCCAAUGUGGGAAGAGAUUCUCUCAGUCAUCCCACCUUGUGACGCACUACCGAGUUCACACUGGGGAAACUGUUUAAACAGGCGACAGGCUACAGGCUGGAUAUUUCACCAUCACAGUUACUGAAUCAAGUUCAAAAGUGACUGUUGGUGCCGAACUCGGCAAUUACUGCUGCUGUUUAACAAACCCAGUUCUGCACUCUGGUCACUGGGCAUGGGAGUUAUUCCUCAGCGAAUGUUCACGUUUAAUGGGACUGGAAUUUAAUGGUUUGGAUCUGUGACGCAGAAAUCAGUUCUAAUUUAAAUCCUGUCCACACCUACAGAAUCUCCUUUCUCUCCCCAGAAUAUCAUCUCUUAUAACUGCCACAAGGGCUAAAUUUACACUUCCCUGUUAAGCUUCAGAGUGGACAGUGCUGCCGGCCUUUCUGUUGCUUCCAUGCCCCAAUGGAUCAACUCCCCACCCACUGAGCAGUAUCCAACAAGGUGUUCUGCUGUGGAGAAUGCCCACAGGACAGCCCUGCACUGUCUUCCUAAUGACCCUUACCUCUGCUGGUGGUCACGCUUCUCCUGUCCGAAGCUUGUACUCUGGGUGUGGCCACCUCUUCAGAUGUUUCAUUGAUAGUAUCUUCAGGCUCCCGAAUGAUCCUGAGUACAUCCAACUCCCUGAACCAGUCUGUGAUUGGGUGCACUUCUUGCAAAUAGUCAUCGGCAAACUGUCGGAUGUCCAGAGUUCCCACAUCUGACUGGAGGAGCAUCCCAUCCUGACUGCUCUGCACCAAAAUACACCACUGUCUGAAUGAAUUAACAUACGCAAGAAAACAUCGAACGGGAAUGGGGCAAUGACAGUGGAAGUAGAGUGUUCAAUUACCUGUGUUUUUGCCAUGAGGUCGAAGGAAUAGAGGCUGCCAUUUUGUGAAGCUGUUCUGUCACCCCCAUUUUGUGCACUGAUUGCUGUGGGAUAACCUGAUCAGAUCAACUGAACACAAGAAGUUACUGGUAUUCCCAUUGUAAGCCUGAAAUCACUCUCACAUAAUCUGUGCAUUAUGUACACUGUCGGGUUUGCAGAAGUAAUCUCGUUAUCUCUGAACCUGAAGUCACUCUGAGAUAAGGUGUGUAUUACGUACAGUGGCAGUUCUGCAGAAGGAAUCUCGAUAUUUCUGCUGAGAGUCCGAGCGACACAGUUUGUCUGUUUGGAUCCAUUGUGGAGGAGAACAAAAUAAAUUACCUUUGACAUGAUGUUGUGUAGCCCUUGGACUACAUCCAAUGGAAAUCUGUUAGUCAUCAGCCUGAUGGACCUCAGCCAACAAGAAUGAGAUGCGUCCUCUGAACUGAUAAGAGUUGUGUCAAAUGUUUCAAAUCAUGCUUGUUUCAAAACAAGUAAAGAGUUUCAAAUGCAAAGGUGUGAUAACUCCGGAGACUAACUAUCACAAGGAAGAACCCCCAUGGAAGGGAUAGGAGAAGAAAUGAUCGAUCAUUUGGAUACAGUGGGAUCCCCUGUUUCAGUGUUGUGAAUUUGAGAAGUGGUCAGGGUGUUUAUUAAUACAGAGGCAGCAGUGGAAUUCAUGUUUCAGUUGUUAGCCUGGGGUUUUCAUUGUUACUUUGUUGUUUGUGCAGGAAAAUUAAAGAGAGAGCUGUAACAAUUACGAGUUUCCUGAUGAGGUUCCAAACUGAUCUCAGUUGAUGAACGGUGAACAUAUUUUCGCGCCCUGGGUGCACUCGAAAAGAAGGAAAAGUGGUCUGGGACCCUGGUGUCGAGUUGACCCACACAGUAGAUUAGGAUAUUAAACUGUGAAAGGGAAAGGACAGGAGGAAGAAACCAGGGAUUCAGAGGAUUUCAGAGAUUACUUUCAUCGUUAAUUAUUAAGGAAAUGGUCAAAUUAUGAGGCGUGGUUAGAAAAGUUUGACAGCCAAGGUUCCGGGACUGUGGAGGAAGAAUUGUGGAAAAUAGUUCGUGAAAAUAAGUUAAAGAAAUUACCAGGGAUUAAAAAUGUUGUAAUGUGAUGUUUGUUGGAUGAUCUAAUUGAAGUGAAGAGAGAAAAAACUGAAAUUGGCAGAGAAAUUGUGUAAGUGUAGGGAAGAGUUAGAAAUUGUGACGGAGCAGGAUCAGGUGAAUUUGAUCCACAUGAGUCAGUUUCAGGCUCAGUGUGAAAGCGUUAACAAGAGAAAAUGAGAAAACAGAAGAGGAGGAUAAACAGGCGGAUACAGAAUUAGAGAAAGGAAAAGUCAGGGUCGGGAUUUACGGCUGUUACGAAUGUCAUGAAGAAAUUGGCAGCUGAGAAGAAAGGCUGCGCUGAUCACAAGUGUUUAAAACAGAUGGAAAAUCUGCAAAGUGAACUCUCAGCUCGGAGAGGAGUGAUAUGUGCGAGGACGGACGAUGAUGGUGAUGCAGAUUGGGGUGAUUUAACGUAUGAAGAGACGCUUGUAUCACACACCGGUCACCAGUCACCUGAUGAGGUAAUCGUAGCCUUUGUCCGGGGUCAGAUAUGGUCAGGUCGUGUCCAAAUUUCAUAGAGUGUUUCAACCGUUAACCACUACUCUUUCCAGUUGGUGGAUCAGGAGUGAGGGUCAAGUCACUGCCCAACUGUUCCUGACUUCGAGCUCAACCCCUCUCUCCAGCUCCAUACCCAGUAAGGGGCUCUUUCUGCUCCCUCCCCCAUCCUGCCAGCUGCUUGCUUCUUGCUCUUUUCAUCAAGGCCCAGCACAGACAGCUACCUCCAUGCUGGCCGUGCCGGGAACCCACUACAGUCGAUCUCCAUGAGAAACAGCCACGUCUGCCAUCCUUUGUCCCUGCACUCCGGGACUAACAGUGUCAGAGCCAGGAUUAUUGGGGAAGUGGCCCGCCUCCCAGCAGGUUUUUCCGAGAGUGGGUGGAAGCUUCAACACCCAGUGCCCCAGUGGCGCCUGUAGUAAUGGAGGGACUGCAGGACACACCAGAGUCGGGGGUGUAGGGCGUUUGUGACACGUUAUUCUGUCCCCUUUGACGUGGCCCAAUUGAGUGCUUGAGCUGUGAAUGAGAGAUGAUUCUCGGAAAUUUUCCCGGUGCAUUCAGCAGAUAGGAUAACUCACGGUCUAUAUGAAACGGAGGAGGGGAAGCUAACCCUUCACUGUCUAACUUCAGCUUUCCCUUUAGCCCUGCCUGAGGAACAGGCACCCUCCCAGGGGACACGGGGUGAUUUUCAGAAGGCACCAUUAGAAGCUGCUGGACUAAUAGAGGUGACAGUGGAGGUUUUGCAUAACUGCAGACAGUGGAAAGGGAGGAACCUUCUUUAUUUGUUACGAGGUUGUGGCCGGUUUUCUCGAGUAUUUUGGGUCCUACUUUGGAUACGCAGAAUUUGACUCCGUGACAGAGUAGGAACUGGCCGAGGAACUUGGUAUCGCACAGUACCGAGGAGAGCAGAAGGGUGUGUGAAAUGAUUGCUCCAUUCAAACCCCACACAUGCUGAAGCAUGGGCUCUCAGAAGGAUGAUGCGAAUGAGGGAAAGGGAGUGAGGGAGAAAGGUACUGAGGAGGAUAAGGGGAAACAGGGUUCUAAAACGACCCUAUCACAGAACAAAGUUUGCAGUGGCAGAAUGAAGGGAGACGGGGGUGGGUGCGGCCGAUCAGUACAAACUCCACAACACCACCUAAUGGCUGGGUAGUCAACGACGUGGUUGGAAUAUCUAUGUUCCCCCCGUUGUGAAUACUGGAUCCACAAAGUAAUGAUGCAAUACUGGACACGAAGUUUAUUUUGGCAUUGAUUGCCCACAACCCAGGUGGGUUGGGACUUGUCAGCAUGUAACGAUGGCCUAUUGCCCCAAGAAGGUCAACUGUGUUACCUAUAAUAUAAUGCCCAUGGUGCUGAUGAUAAGCCACGACUUGAAUCCAGAGUUACCCAGGGGGUCUCCAAGAUACAUGUGCGUUCACCACAUGGUCGGAUGGUGCAGCUGGACCCCUUGUUGAAACUAAAGUAGGAAUCCGCCCCAUAAAAUUUCUUGCAGAUGAUACUAAGGUAGAUGGCGUUGUGGAAAGCUUGUUUCAAAGUUUACAGAAAGUUAGAAGAGUGGGCUGAACGAUGGCAGAUGGAGUUUAAUGCUGAUAAGUGUGAGGUCCUACAUUCUGGUAGGAAUAAUCCAAAUAGGACAUAAAUGAUAAAUGGCAGGACAUUGAGGAAUGCAGUAGAACCAAGGAAUAAUGGUGCAGAGUUCGCUGAAGGUGGAGUCUCAAGUGGAUAGGGUGGUGAAGAAAUCUUUUGGUAUGCUAGCCUUUAUAAAUCAGAGCAUUGAGUAAUGUUAAAAUUGUGCAAUGCAUUAGUAAGGCCGAAUUUGGAGUAUUGUGUACAGUUCUGCUCACCGAAUUAUAGGAAAGAUAUCAACAAAAUAGGCAGAGAACAGAGAAUAUUUACUAGAAUGUUACCUGGGUUUCGGCACCUAAUUUACACGGAAAGGUUGAACAAAUUACGUCUUUAUUCUUUGGAGCAUAAAGGUUUGAGUCGGGACUUGAUAGAGGUAUUUAAAAUUAUGAGGGGGAUAGAUAGAGUUGACGAGGAUAGGCUUUUUCCACUUAGAGUAGGGGAGAUUAAAACAAGAGAACAUGAUUUGAGAGUUAGGGGACAAAAGUUUAAGGGUAACACUAGGGGGUAUUUCUUUACUCAGAGAGUGGUAACUGUGUGGAAUGAGCUUCCAGUAGAAGUAGAAAUAGUAGUGUAUAUAUAUAUGGUUCAUAAUGCGGGAGAGUCUCGAACCACCCUAAACAUGGCUACAUUCAAUGCAACACAUUGGGAAACAGAAGAUGCAGUUAUUAUGAAUGAAUUUACGUGACACUCACGUGUGGGAGUACCGUUGAUAUACAUUCGAAACUUGGAGAUUUUUUAAUGUAUUUAAUCUUGUAAUGUGCUCAAUAGACCCUACAUUAUCCCAGAUUGCUUUGCUGUAUGCUAACUAAGGACGUGGAAGGAGGCGUGUGACUUUGGCUUCGAAGGACAAAAAAUAAGAUGAUCAAAAACAGAAAAGAUUUUCAAGACUUUUGACAACUUGGUUAGAGUCCCCCAAACACAAACUAAUCCAAGAGUUCAUACUCUCGAGGAGAAUGAUAACAGUAGGUGAUGCAAUACAAUUUUACAGGCUACAAUGACAUAAUUUACUUCAGUAUUAUGUUUCUCAAAUGGCUCCAUUGAAGUACAUACUUAGAGUGGGAGAAUAUUGAAUUGAUAAGAAACCACUGAAGGUUCAGUCACCUUUGUUGGGACAAACUAAUUCACAUAAACAGUCCACACAUUGCACUCGUUCAUUAUUUAAUCGCAAUCUGUCACCACGGGGAUUGCAUCUGUCUGACGUAAUUGGUUUGUAAAUAAUUUUAAAACAGCUAUUUUUAAAUCUGUUAAAAUGUGUCCCUCUGGAGUCGCUAAAUGGUAUUAAAAACCGUAGGCUUGGGCUGCCUUUACAUUUCAUUCCAAGAGAUCGCCUGUAGCACAGUGGGGACAGAUCACUGGACAGAGAAAAUGCCUGCAUUGUUCAAUAGGUACAGAAGUGUGGAGAAAAUACUGUACGUGUUCAUCGCCGUCAUUGGAGUUCCUGGUAAGUGAGCAGAGCAAUUCUUGUUUGGUAUUUCUGUGUGUUAACCAUGUGAAUCUGUUUAUGAUCAUUUGACGAGCUUCUAACUUGAUGAUCAUUGUAGAAAUAUCCGUCAGAGAUAUUGAUCCUGUCAGUUCAACACUCUGAAUUUUCAUAUUUAAUGACAAGCGGAGCUAAACUCCUGUCUCUCAUCAAACUCACGUGAUCGACUCGAACGUUGUUCUUGCCUUCAAUGACACCUUGUCCGGAGUUGUCCCAGUGUGGGGACAGGCAGCUCUCCCGCAAGGUGUGACUGGAAUGGGUUUACAUUGUAAAGUUCACUGUUUCUGAGUUAUCGAUCAGAGAGAACCCCUGGUCCUGUGUUUCAUGUCUCCCUGUGGAGUCUGUCACAGUCGGAUCCCACUGCCUGUCGGUCAAUAAUUGGGUCUGAUCAUCUGAACCAGUGUCAACGGAUCUGCUGACGAGAGUUAUCGAAUUGAACUGCGCUGUGGAAUUAAUCCAUUAACGGAGCCGCUCAGCCUCAGGUUGCUCAGUUGUUCCUGCUUUCCCUCUGAGACGCGUCGUAAAUUUUCUCCAGGACAACUCUUCGUCCUGGAGAAAAGUCUCGGCCCAAUACCAAAGUUUGUUCAAUUCCAUGUACAGAAUGUUGCCUGACCUGCUGAGUCCCUCCAGUGUUUUGUGUGUGUUCCUCUCCUCUGCAUGCCUUAUCGGCCCCAUCAUUUACGAGUUUCCAGGGGCCAGGUCAGUCACGAUUAAAUCAGUGAAACCGGCCAGGUCAGGGACAGGAAUCGUGAUCAGCACCGACCUAUGUUGUUCAUGCAGAUCGCUUUUAUCGCCGACGAUUGUCCACAAUUGUCUUAUCUCCACACUGAAGAAGGCAGGUCAGAGACAGUGUGACCAGUGUCCCAUGUUAGGUUAGCAGCCGU